GACGAACGCUGGCGGCGUGCUUAACACAUGCAAGUCGAGCGGUAAGGCCCUUUCGGGGGUACACGAGCGGCGAACGGGUGAGUAACACGUGGGUGACCUGCCCUCAGCUCUGGGAUAAGCCUGGGAAACCGGGUCUAAUACUGGAUAUGACUCCAUGACGCAUGUUGUGGGGUGGAAAGCCUUGUGCGGCUGAGGAUGGGCCCGCGGCCUAUCAGCUUGUUGGUGGGGUGANGGCCUACCAAGGCGACGACGGGUAGCCGGCCUGAGAGGGCGACCGGCCACACUGGGACUGAGACACGGCCCAGACUCCUACGGGAGGCAGCAGUGGGGAAUCUUGCGCAAUGGGCGAAAGCCUGACGCAGCGACGCCGCGUGAGGGAUGACGGCCUCGGUUGUAACCC
rnacentral:rRNA from 1 species